rnacentral:rRNA from 1 species
GUGGAUCAGUGGCGAACGGGUUGAGUAACACGUGAGCAAUCUGCCCCUGACUCUGGGAUAAGCGCUGGAAACGGCGUCUAAUACUGGAUACGAGCCGUGAAGGCAUCUUCAACGGUUGGAAAGAUUUUUCGGUCAGGGAUGAGCUCGCGGCCUAUCAGCUUGUUGGUGAGGUAAUGGCUCACCAAGGCGUCGACGGGUAGCCGGCCUGAGAGGGUGACCGGCCACACUGGGACUGAGACACGGCCCAGACUCCUACGGGAGGCAGCAGUGGGGAAUAUUGCACAAUGGGCGCAAGCCCGAUGCAGCAACGCCGCGUGAGGGAUGACGGCCUUCGGGUUGUAAACCUCUUUUAGCAGGGAAGAAGCGAAAGUGACGGUACCUGCAGAAAAAGCGCCGGCUAACUACGUGCCAGCAGCCGCGGUAAUACGUAGGGCGCAAGCGUUAUCCGGAAUUAUUGGGCGUAAAGAGCUCGUAGGCGGUUUGUCGCGUCUGCUGUGAAAUCCCGAGGCUCAACCUCGGGUCUGCAGUGGGUACGGGCAGACUAAGUGCGGUAGGGAGAUUGGAAUUCCUGGUGUACGGUGGAAUGCGCAGAUAUCAGGA